CACGUAGGGCGCAAGCGUUGUCCGGAAUUAUUGGGCGUAAAGAGCUCGUAGGCGGUCUGUUGCGUCCGCUGUGAAAACUCGGGGCUUAACCCCGAGCCUGCAGUGGAUACGGGCAGACUUAGAGGUGAGGUAGGGGAGAAUGGAAUUCCCGGUGUAGCGGUGAAAUGCGCAGAUAUCGGGAGGAACACCGGUGGCGAAGGCGGUUCUCUAGUACGGUACUGACGCUGAGACGCGAAAGCGUGGGGAGCGAACAGG
rnacentral:rRNA from 1 species